rnacentral:rRNA from 1 species
GACGAACGCUGGCGGCGUGCUUAACACAUGCAAGUCGAACGGAAAGGCCCUGCUUUUGUGGGGUGCUCGAGUGGCGAAAGGGUGAGUAACACGUGAGUAACCUGCCCUUGACUUUGGGAUAACUUCAGGAAACUGGGGCUAUUACCGGAUAUGAGCUCCUGCUGCAUGGUGGGGGUUGGAAAGUGUCGGCGGUUGGGCAUGGACUCGCGGCUUAUCAGCUUGUUGGUGGGGUAGUGUGUUACCAAGGCGUUGACGGGUAGCCGGCCUGAGAGGGUGACCGGCCACAAUGGGACUGAGGAAGGACCAAGAGGGCUACGGCGGCCAUCGGUGAGAGUCAUACCGAGAAGGGCGGAAGGCGGAUAGAGCAACUCCGGAUCCUAGAUGACGGCCGUUGGGUAAUAAACCGCUUUCGCGUGGGACGAUGCGUGAGUGACGGUAAUGGGUAAGGAAGCACCGGCUAACUACGUG